rnacentral:miRNA from 1 species
UAUAGGAAAUUUUAAUUCCUAUAGGAAUUCCUAUAGGAAUUUUCAAUGCCUAUAGGAAUUCCUAUAGGAAAUUUUAAUUCCUAUAUGAA